rnacentral:tRNA from 1 species
CCCGCCGUAGCUCAAUCUGGCAGAGCAUCCGGCUGUAGACCGGAGUGUUGCCGGUUCAAAUCCGGCCGGCGGGA